rnacentral:rRNA from 1 species
AUUGAACGCUGGCGGCAUGCCUUACACAUGCAAGUCGAACGGUAACGGGCCUUCGGGUGCCGACGAGUGGCGAACGGGUGAGUAAUACAUCGGAACGUGCCCGAUCGUGGGGGGUAACGAGGCGAAAGCUUUGCUAAUACCGCAUACGAUCUACGGAUGAAAGCAGGGGACUUCAAGGCCUUGCGCGGACGGAGCUGCCGCUGGCAGAUUAGGUAGUUGGGGGGAUAAAAGCUUACCAAGCCGAGGAUCUGUAGCUGGUCUGAGAGGAUGAUCAGCCACACUGGGACUGAGACACGGCCCAGACUCCUACGGGAGGCAGCAGUGGGGAAUUUUGGACAAUGGGCGCAAGCCUGAUCCAGCCAUGCCGCGUGCAGGAUGAAGGCCUUCGGGUUGUAAACUGCUUUUGUACGGAACGAAAAGCCUUCUUUUAAUACAGGAGGGUCAUGACGGUACCGUAAGAAUAAGCACCGGCUAACUACGUG